GAUGAACGCUGGCGGCGUGCUUAAUACAUGCAAGUCGAACGAAGAGGACCGAAGCUUGCUUCGGAAAUCUUAGUGGCGAACGGGUGAGUAAUACGUAAGCAACCUGCCCUAGAGAGAGGGAUAACAGUUAGAAAUGACUGCUAAUACCUCAUAGUCAGUUAGGAGGCAUCUCCUUUCUGUUAAAGACGCGUUUGCGUCACUCUAGGAUGGGCUUACGGUGCAUUAGUUAGUUGGUGGGGUAACGGCUCACCAAGACCAUGAUGCAUAGCCGGCCUGAGAGGGUGAACGGCCACAUUGGGACUGAGACACGGCCCAGACUCCUACGGGAGGCAGCAGUAAGGAAUUUUCGGCAAUGGAGGAAACUCUGACCGAGCAACGCCGCGUGAGUGAUGAAGGCCUUCGGGUUGUAAAGCUCUGUUACAGGGGAAGAACAUACCAGGUAGGAAAUGACCUGGUACUGACGGUACCCUGCCAGAAAGUCACGGCUUACUACGUGCCAGCAGCCGCGGUAAUACGUAGGUGGCAAGCGUUAUCCGGAUUUUAUGGGCGUAAAGGGUGCGUAGGCGGCCUGUUAGUCUGAGGUGAAAGCGUGGGGCUCAACCCCAUACAGCCUUGGAUACUGGCAGGCUUGAGUGAAGAAGAGGGAAGUGGAAUUCCAUGUGUAGCGGUAAAAUGCGUAGAUAUAUGGAGGAACACCGGUGGCGAAGGCGGCUUCCUGGUCUUCUACUGACGCUCAUGCACGAAAGCGUGGGGAGCAAAUAGGAUUAGAUACCCUAGUAGUCCACGCCCUAAACGAUGAUAACUAGGUAUCGGCGCAAGUCGGUGCCGCAGCUAACGCAUUAAGUUAUCCGCCUGAGGAGUAUGCACGCAAGUGUGAAACUUAAAGGAAUUGACGGGGGCCCGCACAAGCGGUGGAGUAUGCGGUUUAAUUCGACGCAACGCGAAGAACCUUACCAGGCCUUGACAUCCUCGGCAAAGCUAUAGAGAUAUAGCGGAGGUUACCCGAGUGACAGGUGGUGCAUGGUUGUCGUCAGCUCGUGUCGUGAGAUGUUGGGUUAAGUCCCGCAACGAGCGCAACCCUUGUCCUUAGUUACCAGCAUUCAGUUGGGGACUCUAUGGAGACUGCCGGUGAUAAACCGGAGGAAGGUGGGGAUGACGUCAAAUCAUCAUGCCCCUUAUGGCCUGGGCUACACGCGUACUACAAUGGCAUAAACAACGAGAAGCAAGACGGUGACGUUAAGCGGAACUCUUAAAUUAUGUCUCAGUUCGGAUUGGAGUCUGCAACUCGACUCCAUGAAGCCGGAAUCGCUAGUAAUCGCGGAUCAGCAUGCCGCGGUGAAUACGUUCUCGGGCCU
rnacentral:rRNA from 1 species